GGAGGGAUGGCAGAGCGGUUGAAUGCACCGGUCUUGAAAACCGGAGAUACCGUAAGGUAUUCCAGGGUUCGAAUCCCUGUCCCUCCG
rnacentral:tRNA from 1 species